GUUGAAACAACGGUUCUCAUACAAUCACCACAGUUAAGCAACAUCAGGCCUGGUUAGUACCUAGAUGGGUGAUGACUUGGGAAUACCAUGUGCUAUA